rnacentral:lncRNA from 1 species
AUAGUUUUCAAAAUGUGAAUUUUGCAUCAAUGAAAAUUCCGAACAAGAAUAUUUAUCUUACAAGUAAAGCAAAAUCUUAUGAUUAAAACUCCAGUGUACCAUUUUGCAAAGAAACCAAACUAUUUUUUGCUUCAGUGGUUUCAUGUAUGAUAGCUUGUUUAUGUAAAACUUCUUUUGACCCAUUGAUCAUACAUAUUUGACAAAAUGAUUCAUGUCUUUGCUAGCCUUAUAAGUGUAAAACACAUUUUAUGAUUUACAUGUAAAUUGUAAAAAAACACAAUUCCAUCAAGUGUAUUAUUAUCACACCCAUUAAUUAUAUUUGCAACAUCAUGUAUCACAAAACUUGUAUCAUGUAAGGCAUUUUAAAUCUCAUUUAUGAAAGACUACUGUAUUUGGCCAUGUAUAGUGUGCAUAUUUAUGGACAAAAAGAUUUUAUGGAGCUUAAUUAUGUCUAGUUCACGCAGAAUGUGGUAUAACAAAAUCUUUUGUAGAAUAAUUAAUCAAUUUUA